UACGUAGGAGGCAAGCGUUGUCCGGAAUCACUGGGCGUAAAGCGCGUGUAGGUGGAAGAGGAAGUCUGCUGUGAAAGCGCCUGGCUUAACCGGGCGAGGUCGGUGGAAACUCCUCAUCUAGAGGUCGGUAGAGGGGGUGGAAUUCCGGGUGAGUGGUGAAAUGCGUAGAGAUCCGGAGGAACACCUGUGGCGAAGGCGGCCCCUGGGCCGCACCUGACGCUGAGACGCGAAAGCGCGGGGAGCGAACGGG
rnacentral:rRNA from 1 species